rnacentral:rRNA from 1 species
ACGGGGUGCAGCAGGCGCGAAACCUUUACAAUAUGCGAAAGCAUGAUAAGGGAACUCCGAGUGCCAGUAUCUAAUACUGGCUGUCCUUGUGCCUAAAACGCACAAGAUAGCAAGGGCCGGGUAAGACCGGUGCCAGCCGCCGCGGUAACACCGGCGGCCCGAGUGGUAGCCGCUAUUAUUGGGUCUAAAGGGUCCGUAGCCGGUUCGAUAAGUCCUCUGGGAAAUCUGGUUGCUUAACAAUCAGACUGCCAAGGGAUACUGUCGAACUUGAGACCGGGAGAGGUAAGAGGUACUUCAGGGGUAGGAGUGAAAUCUUGUAAUCCCUGGGGGACCAUCUGUGGCGAAGGCGUCUUACCAGAACGGGUCUGACGGUGAGGGACGAAAGCUGGGGGCGCGAACCGGAUUAGAUACCCGGGUAGUCCCAGCCGUAAACGAUGUUCGCUAGGUGUCAGGGGCGGUGCGACCGUUUCUGGUGCCGUAGGGAAGCCGUGAAGCGAACCACCUGGAAGUACGCCGCAAGGC